CACUCUCUCCUUGUCUUCUCGUAUGAAUGUACGUGCGUAUAGAAUAAACAUGGCGCGGUUCAGCGGAUCGAUUGGUGGAGAGCAUUGAAGGAUGUCUCUGUCCCUGCUGAUUCAGAGCUUGAAACGCAAUCGGAACUUCGAUGAUCAGUUCAGUUCAGGCUCCAAAUAAGUACCAGGACUCUCCUCCAGUGGUACAGAGCCCCGGUUCCAUUCAGGUACUAGUGUUUAAUAAUUAUUAUAAUAGCGCUAUUCACAAUUCUAGAUGAAA
rnacentral:lncRNA from 7 species